rnacentral:rRNA from 1 species
UACAGAGGUCUCAAGCGUUGUUCGGAUUCAUUGGGCGUAAAGGGUGCGUAGGCGGCGCGGUAAGUCGGGUGUGAAAUCUCGGAGCUUAACUCCGAAACUGCAUUCGAUACUGCCGUGCUUGAGGACUGGAGAGGAGACUGGAAUUUACGGUGUAGCGGUGAAAUGCGUAGAUAUCGUAAGGAAGACCAGUGGCGAAGGCGGGUCUCUGGACAGUUCCUGACGCUGAGGCGCGAAAGCGUGGGGAGCGAACCGG